AAUAUUUCUAUAACUUUACUAGUUCUCAUUUUGUUAUAUAUGACCCAACCAAAUCUAAUUGAAAGUUCCUUGCCAUCCAAUCUUUGGCCAUCUUUUUCCUAGACAAUUGAUAUUUAUAUUCUUUUCUUAUCCGUCUUUUGUAGGACAUUGACAGGCAGGUUAAAAGCUUCGUUCUGUAAGGCUUUUCACACAUCUUCCAUCUAUGGCAGAGCUUAUGAAAGUAAAGUUUGUAUCUCACAACUGUUGGCCCCACUUGUUAACAAACCAAAUCUUCCACUUGCAUCGCGAUUUUUAGGCUUUUUGGAAACAACAGCUUGUCUGAUACAUGACUGCCAUCCCAAAAAAGCUAUAAACUUCUUAAUGUGCAUUAGGAAGGGAUGAAUGGGAGUUAGAUGGUUGGAUUAUUUUUAUUUAUUUAUUUAUUUGUCUUGUUUUGUAGGCUUUAGGAAGGGAUGAAUGAGAGUUUUGAUGGCCCACUCUGCAAGGUACUCUACAUGUAUGCUUGUAGCAUAUGUGCAACGUAGCAAAGACA